rnacentral:rRNA from 1 species
AUACGAAGGUCCCGAGCGUUAUUCGGAAUCACUGGGCGUAAAGAGUAUGUAGGCGGUUUGGUAAGUCAGGUGUGAAAUCCCGGAGCUCAACUUCGGAACUGCAUCCGAUACUGCCAGACUCGAGUAAUGGAGAGGCAGGUGGAAUUCUCGGUGUAGCAGUGAAAUGCGUGGAUAUCGAGAGGAAGACCAAUGGCGAAGGCAGCCUGCUGGACAUUUACUGACGCUGAGAUACGAAGGCUAGGGUAGCGAAAGGGAUUAGAUACCCCAGUAGUCC